UGCAUCCUGGAGUGUACAACUGCAGGAACUCAACAAGCAAUAACACACCAACAAGACUCCAAGAUGCAAGUGAGAAGUAUACAGUGGGUGCUUGGGAUCCAGAGAUCAGAUACAAUUUCUUCCUUCUCAGAGGUUCCAUCAUAGAAGGGGAGACAGGUAAAGAGAAUCACAGUGAGACCCCUUGAGGACACUUGGACCAUCCUUCUGGGUAAGAGGCGAGGCUGGAGAAGCCGGCAGAGCUGGAAUCUGGAGGCCCAGAAAGCUGUGCUAUGGGAUUUGGCCUUGCUGGACUCCCCUCACCCGUUUUCAAAUAGAAAGGUAUGAUUUGAAGCACAUUUGGGGAAGUGGAGCCUGGCUGUCAUCUACAGAAGGCUUAAGGGCCCUCUCUCAACAGCUGAUCAAACAAAGCCACACGCAGUUCAGUAAGCCAUGGGUACUCUGACCAACGCCAUCACUCGCCGUGCUCAACAACUGCACGAUCUGUCUGGAUGCCAAACGCACAUGAUAUGUUUACCAAGAGGGCCUGAUGCCGGUGGGGGGGUGGGGAAUGCUGAUACCCAAGGGUUGUCCUUUUUACCAGCAUCCCAGGUCACCCUGUGCAGGUGCUUCGAGACUCAGCCUCACAGAUCCCCCAAGUCAUCCUCUCCAGUGCCAACGUUCUCCCACUGCUAAGUGUGAAAGAACAUCUUUGCAAGAGAACGCAGCCCUGGCUGCGGGCCUAAUGUGUGUUUAGAGAGCUCUCUGGAGACCCAUCCCUGUCCGGGGUAAUGGUGGCAGAGGCAUAAUUACCUUAGCAUCGGGAAGGCAGCUGCCCACCCCCUGGGCUGUUACGUACCUCAUCAUUUUCACGACUGGAGCUUCCUGGAUUGUAGCUGGCUCGGGCCCACGAUGCAGGGUCAGGUGGCAGAGAGGCUACGCGGCCGACUGCUUAGCCGGGAAACCUUCCCGGCCGGAACAGUCAAUUGUGCAGGGCAUGCAACCUGGAAAUGAGGACAGCUGUCCCCUGCCCCCCACAGUGCUCCAUAACCAGGUCCCCUGCGGACCUGGCCCAGGUCCCAUCACAUCGGCAUGUAGUGUGGCCGCUGCAAGGAAUGGCAAGUCUGAUGGCAGAGGUUACCCCUGCUCCCAUUCACUGAAACGUUUGCUGCUCUACAGCGCACUUGGGUGCUGCCUUAAUCGGUCGGUCUCCUGGGGCCAUGGGGACGCUUGAAAAAAAAGUACAUGUCAAAAUAUGGUGUUGUUCAGAUGUAAUCUGGAGUCCCCAGCCCAAUGUGAGAUGAUUGUGGUGCUCGAAAUGGAGCAGCCUGUCUGCUCUCUGAGAAGAGGGCUGCAGGCGACAGAGGUAUGCCACCCCCCCCCCCGGUUGCCUGGUUUGGGGAGAACUGGCUUUGUCAGGGCUUCCAUGUGGGACUUUGUUCAAGAAGAGCUUAGCUUGACUCCCUGCAAAUGGAAAGCCCAGCCAGAACUGAGAUGAGCAGAGUCAGGGGGCCUCAGGGAAGACAUCAAUGGUGGACGUGAGGUUGACCCCCAAGAUCCAUACCACUACCCCAACUAAUGCCACCAAUCUGCAUGCAUCACUCCUCAGGUGACACCAUCCAACAGAGGGCAGGCAUGUGUCCCAGGCUGGCCUGGUCAGGCUGGAGGAAGCCAUCUAUGUGGUUAGGGAAGUGUCUUAUGUGUGUCUUGUCCUGGUGAGGGUGACUAGGGAGGCACAUUGUCCCAGUGGUCAAUGGGACAUGGACCAGCAUCAGGGUGACAUCAGUGCUGAGUAGAGAGACUGGAAGGAACCUAGGUCUCUGGUGAGAGCACCCAACACAGACUGAGCUGUACUUGGAGCUCUUUGCCUCUGGACUGAGAGUUAUGUGAGAUGUACAUGUCCUCACUGUUUGAAUCUUCUCGCAUCGAAUGUCUUCAUUUGCUGCCUGGAGCCUCCCGACUGUACAGCUUCCCACUGGAGCGGCUGCCUUUGGAAGCAUGAGCCGGUGCCUCACAGACAACCCUAAUGCGGGAAACAGGCCAGGGCCUCGGAACCUAUGUGGAUUGUCUGGAGCUUUCACAAAGUGAUUUAGUGGCAUUCUUUUUUUUUUUUUUUUUUGAGCAAAAUUUCUUUUAAUUUUAUUUUACUUAAAUUUAGUUAAUUAAUGUAUAUUGUAUUAUCAGUUUCAGAGGUAGAGCUCAGUGAUUCACUAGUUGCCUAUAACACCCAGCGCUCGUUACAUCAUGUGCCCUCCUUAAUGCCCAUCACCCCGUUACCCUAUCCCUCCACCCACCUCCCGUCCAGCAACUCUCAGUUUGUUUCCUAGAGUUAGGGGUCUCCUACAGUUUAUCUCCCUCUCUGAUUUUGUCUUAUUUUAUUUUUGCCUCCUUUCCCCUGUGGUCCUCAUUUUGUUCCACAUCUGAGUGAAAUCAUAUGAUAACUGUCUUUCUCUGAUUGACUUAUUUUGCUUGGCAUAACACCCUCUAGUUCCAUCCACAUCAUUGCAAAUGGUAAGAUUUCAUCUUUUGAUGGCUGAGUAGUAUUCCAUAAUAUAUAACUCUCUAUAUUAUAUAUCAGUCUUCUUUAUUCAUUCAUCUGUUGAUGGACAUCUAGGAUUUUUCCAUAGUUUGGCUAUUGUGGACAUUUCUGCUAUAAACAUUGGGGUGCAGGUGCUCCUUUGGAUCACUACAUUUGUAUCUUUGAGGUAAAUGCCUAGUAGUGCAAUUGCUGGGUGGUAGGGUACUGAGCAAAAUUUCUUUUCAAUAUAGAAUUAAAUUCCCAACUAAACUAAGAUUCAAGCAUGAGAGUAGAAUAAAGAUAUUUUUAGACCUACAAGGCACAUUCAGUCUUUUCAACAGCACCUAGAGGGCAGCCCGGGUGGCUCAGCAGUUUAGCGCUGCCUUCGGCCGGGGGCGUGAUCCUAUAGACCCGGGGGCAUUCUUUCUACAAAGAUAGACUCAAUGUGCAUGGUAAUCAUGAGGAACAUCCUUCAUCUGCACCAAGAAAAGGAUCGCUCCUGUGUUUUAUGAGAUGCAAAGCCCUUUCAGUGUGGCCUGCAUUUUGAAAGAAGUAUAGGUCAGAGAAAUAUCUGAUUCUUCUCAUUGAGAAGAAAAUCAGCCCAGGUGCAGUAGUAAGUGGCUGCUGCCACCUGGCCUCCACAUGUAGGGGACUACAGAGAGGGAGGGAUCCCUGUGAGUAAGAGACCAGGGUGAAAGGAGAGCUCACACCCCACCUGACCAGCUGGCAGGCUCCAGCAGGUGCUCACAUGCAGGAACAUGGACCCAGGGUCCACCCAGUCUUCUGACCCUUCGAAGGAAGCUAUAAAAUAGAAUUUGUGUGUGAAUUUUCCACUUAAAAAAAAGAGGGGUGCCUGGGUGGCUCAGUCAGUUAAGCAUCUGCCUUCGGCUCAG